AUACCCCCUGAGAAACAUCUACUUCCGGACAGAAAGAGGUAAAAAAUAGGUCAGUAUGUCAAAAAAGAGCCUAGGAAUAUAGGGAAACCCCAGCAAGACCUAUCCAGAGGCAGGCAGCUAGGACACCCUGGUAGUCAGAAGGUGUUGCCUGCGUUCUGCUUGCAGAUGUUGGUCUGCCCAAUGGACAGUGGGCAGUGUCACAGAGAUCCUGGGAUACUGUGAUUCUUUCAUCCUGUUCCUUAAAGGGUCCUGUGGGUCUUCACCUGGAAGACUGGACACUCGUAGAGAAGAGCAAUAGUGACCAUUGUAUACAGUGAAGUGGAACUGAGAGAAGUUUCAUCAGAUGGUGAGUCUCCCAGAGCCAGUUAUGUGAGUGAUGACCGAGGCUGCAGAGUCACAAGCUGUUUCUCCAUUUAAGGUCCAAACUGAGAAGACUGGACAAAAGCUGAGCCAGAUGGAGGACACUGAUAUAAGGCAGGACCACUUAUCUGUCACUCCUGUCUGGCCACAUAGAGUAAGCCAGCUCUGGAUGUAUUUUACAAUUCACCUUCAUUCUACCAGUAACAGAGAGAGGCUCCAUGAGGCCUUGUUCCUUCAGACAUAAGCAGCUAUAUGAUGACAAAUGGACUGUGAAUGCUGAUAACUGAAAUGAUACCAAGUCACAGCCUCCCAAUGAAGUGAGAAGUUAAGAUUGAAACAUUUGGAUUUCUAGAGCUCCGGGACCACCUUGUCAGAUCACAAAUCAAGGGUUAAUCUCUGCAGCAAAUGAUAUUUAGAUUCUACUAUAUUUAUCUUGGAACGCUAGGACGUAAGCCCACGGAAGGUGGAUACUAACCUUUCUCAACCGCCAUACUGUCUGGGCACCAGUUAUGAGGAAAAGUGAAAGUUAGAAUUAUGUUCUUCAAUUAAAGAAGAUCUCAGAAGAUGGAAAGAUCUCCCAUGCUCAUGGAUUGGCAGGAUCAACAUUGUAAAAAU
rnacentral:lncRNA from 1 species